UUGAACGCUGGCGGCAGGCCUAACACAUGCAAGUCGAGCGGUAGCACAGAGAGCUUGCUCUCGGGUGACGAGCGGCGGACGGGUGAGUAAUGUCUGGGAAACUGCCUGAUGGAGGGGGAUAACUACUGGAAACGGUAGCUAAUACCGCAUAACGUCGCAAGACCAAAGUGGGGGACCUUCGGGCCUCAUGCCAUCAGAUGUGCCCAGAUGGGAUUAGCUAGUAGGUGGGGUAAUGGCUCACCUAGGCGACGAUCCCUAGCUGGUCUGAGAGGAUGACCAGCCACACUGGAACUGAGACACGGUCCAGACUCCUACGGGAGGCAGCAGUGGGGAAUAUUGCACAAUGGGCGCAAGCCUGAUGCAGCCAUGCCGCGUGUGUGAAGAAGGCCUUCGGGUUGUAAAGCACUUUCAGCGGGGAGGAAGGCGAUAAGGUUAAUAACCUUGUCGAUUGACGUUACCCGCAGAAGAAGCACCGGCUAACUCCGUGCCAGCAGCCGCGGUAAUACGGAGGGUGCAAGCGUUAAUCGGAAUUACUGGGCGUAAAGCGCACGCAGGCGGUCUGUCAAGUCGGAUGUGAAAUCCCCGGGCUCAACCUGGGAACUGCAUUCGAAACUGGCAGGCUAGAGUCUUGUAGAGGGGGGUAGAAUUCCAGGUGUAGCGGUGAAAUGCGUAGAGAUCUGGAGGAAUACCGGUGGCGAAGGCGGCCCCCUGGACAAAGACUGACGCUCAGGUGCGAAAGCGUGGGGAGCAAACAGGAUUAGAUACCCUGGUAGUCCACGCCGUAAACGAUGUCGAUUUGGAGGUUGUGCCCUUGAGGCGUGGCUUCCGGAGCUAACGCGUUAAAUCGACCGCCUGGGGAGUACGGCCGCAAGGUUAAAACUCAAAUGAAUUGACGGGGGCCCGCACAAGCGGUGGAGCAUGUGGUUUAAUUCGAUGCAACGCGAAGAACCUUACCUGGUCUUGACAUCCACAGAACUUUCCAGAGAUGGAUUGGUGCCUUCGGGAACUGUGAGACAGGUGCUGCAUGGCUGUCGUCAGCUCGUGUUGUGAAAUGUUGGGUUAAGUCCCGCAACGAGCGCAACCCUUAUCCUUUGUUGCCAGCGGUUAGGCCGGGAACUCAAAGGAGACUGCCAGUGAUAAACUGGAGGAAGGUGGGGAUGACGUCAAGUCAUCAUGGCCCUUACGACCAGGGCUACACACGUGCUACAAUGGCAUAUACAAAGAGAAGCGACCUCGCGAGAGCAAGCGGACCUCAUAAAGUAUGUCGUAGUCCGGAUUGGAGUCUGCAACUCGACUCCAUGGAGUCGGAAUCGCUAGUAAUCGUAGAUCAGAAUGCUACGGUGAAUACGUUCCCGGGCCUUGUACACACCGCCCGUCACACCAUGGGAGUGGGUUGCAAAAGAAGUAGGUAGCUUAACCUUCGGGAGGGCGCUUACCACUUUGUGAUUCAUGACUGGGGUG
rnacentral:rRNA from 1 species